rnacentral:rRNA from 1 species
AGCGAACGCUGGCGGCAGGCCUAACACAUGCAAGUCGAACGAACCUUUCGGGGUUAGUGGCGGACGGGUGAGUAACACGUGGGAACGUGCCUUUAGGUUCGGAAUAACUCAGGGAAACUUGUGCUAAUACCGAAUGUGCCCUUCGGGGGAAAGAUUUAUCGCCUUUAGAGCGGCCCGCGUCUGAUUAGCUAGUUGGUUGAGGUAAUGGCUCACCAAGGCGACGAUCAGUAGCUGGUCUGAGAGGAUGAUCAGCCACAUUGGGACUGAGACACGGCCCAAACGCCUGCGGGAGGCAGCAGUGGGGAAUCUUGCGCAAUGGGCGAAAGCCUGACGCAGCCAUGCCGCGUGAAUGAUGAAGGUCUUAGGAUUGUAAAAUUCUUUCACCGGGGACGAUAAUGACGGUACCCGGAGAAGAAGCCCCGGCUAACUUCGUG